rnacentral:rRNA from 1 species
CUAAGAAUAUUCCGCAAUGGACGAAAGUCUGACGGAGCGACGCCGCGUGGAUGACGAAGGCCGAAAGGUUGUAAAGUCCUUUUGUUGGGGAAGAAUAACCAUGGGAGGGAAUGCCCGUGGGAUGACAUGAACCGACGAAUAAGCCCCGGCUAACUACGUGCCAGCAGCCGCGGUAACACGUAGGGGGCGGGCGUUGUUCGGAAUUACUGGGCGUAAAGGGCAUGUAGGCGGCUCUGUAAGUCCGGCGUGGAAGCCCACGGCUCAACCGUGGGAUUGCGCUGGAAACUGUGGGGCUUGAAUCAUGGAGAGGGAGCUAGAAUUCCAGGUGUAGGGGUGAAAUCUGUAGAGAUCUGGAAGAAUACCAGUGGCGAAGGCGAGCUCCUGGCCAAUGAUUGACGCUGAGGUGCGAAAGUGUGGGGAUCAAACA